CUUCCCUCACCCUGUUGGAUUUAUCGCGGCAUAUCGAUCAGUAGUAGCCCAAAGCGGCGUGUCUCUCUACCUGGUGGCUGACCUUCACGUAUCCGACAGGUAACGGUGCCCGAUGGACCGGAGCGCAGCGCAGCCGAGCAGUGGGAGCAGGGUGCUGGAGAAGCAGACGGAGGAGCGGCUGAGCGACAGCUCCAUCUGCGAACCGUCGGACGAAGAGAUUUCAACAAAGAAAGAGAAGCACCUGAGGCUUGGCCCUGACGAUCUUAAUGAGACGCUUUUGUUUGAGGUUGGAAGCGCACCCUCUGGGAAAGUUUAGUGCGCAUGUGUGAAACUCUCGGCGUUUAUCAUGUUUCCUGAAUUUGCACAGAAUACUGGCAUUUCUUGUUUUUAUCAACUGAAUAAA